rnacentral:tRNA from 1 species
UACCUAAGGUAGAUAAACUUACAUCCACAGCGCCACAAGCUAUUAUUUUAUAUAAACUACUCAAGG